AAGCAUUUAGAGCAAAUCUGACGGUGGCAAAAAUGUUCAUCAGAUUUAGAUAUAUCUGCCCUGAAAUUUUCAGACAACCAGUUGUUGGGUUGCUGUCCCUGAGUUCUUUGCUAUUAUCUUAGAUAUUAUUAUAGUAUCUAAUGAUAUCUUAUACUAUAAAUUAUGAUUUUAACCUUAUUUUACAUGAUUUCCAAAGGAUCAGUAAAUACAGGUGAGCGACACAGGCUCUUUAGAGACUCUAGUUUAUUUGGUUAAAGUUUUUAUUUCAUUUUCUGACUCUUGAUAAAUUUGACAAAUGCACAUGUAUGGUCGACCUCAUACUAAACCAUACGAGUAUACUCAUACGGUACGAGUAUACGUUCAGGUAUACUUAUAUGGUCCACAUUGUACGCGUAAGGGUUCAAAUCAGAUAUACUCAUAUUGUCUGGAACAUAUAUAUACAUGUAGCAUUGUUGAAAAAAAAACUUAUACUUGUACUCAUCAUGGAUAAUACACAAUACAGAACCACAUCCGCGUAUAAUUUAUUCAAUUCAUCUUUCAUUCUGAAACAAAUUCAUUUUCCUUUUUGAAAACAAAACAAACAGUUGUGUUUAUAAUGUCUGUGUCAUUUUGGUCUCUUGUGGACAGUUGUCUCAUUGGCAAUCAUACCAUAUCUUCUUUUUUAUAUGCAAACCAAAGAGUGAUGGAAAUCUGCUGAGCACCACAAAAUGCAUGAAUGUGUGGUAUUCUUUAUCAUUAUUUUGAUUUCAAAAAAGAACAUGAUGGAUCCAAGUCUAUUUUUGAGAUUUACGGACCGUUUUGGCUGCUGUGGAACCUAACAGACACUGAAUGGAAAUCUUACUUAUGUUUUAUAGAUAUUGCAAAGGAAAUUUAAAUAUCAAAUAUAGGCUCCAAAUUAUGUCUCCAGCAUAUACAUAAAGAGAACGCUAUGUUGGAGUUUCUUGUGGAUGAACAAAUAU
rnacentral:lncRNA from 1 species